rnacentral:rRNA from 1 species
AUAAGAUAUCAAGGGCAACAGGUGAAUGCCUUGGCGCUGAGAGGCGAUGAAAGACGCGGUAAGCUGCGAUAAGCAUCGGGGAGGAGCUAAACAUCCUACGAUCCGAUGAUUUCUGAAUGGGGAACCCCGAUGGGAGUCAUGUCCCAUCAUCCUGAGCUGAAUAUAUAGGCCCAGAGAAGCCAACCCGGGGAAGUGAAACAUCUCAGUACCCGGAGGAAGAGAAAUCAAACGAGACUCCCAAAGUAGCGGCGAGCGAAAUGGGAAGAGCCCAAACCGAGUGGUUUCGACCAUUCGGGGUUGUAGGGCCGGCAUACGCGAUUCUGGAGUAGGCAGAGGAAGUGAGCUGGAAAGCUCCGCCACAGCGGGUGAUAGCCCCGUACUCGAAACCGAAAAGGACGCAGCCGGUACCUGAGUACUGCGAGGCACGUGGAACCUCGUGGGAAUCUAGGGGGACCAUCCUCUAAGGCUAAGUACUCCUCAGCGACCGAUAGUGAACUAGUACCGUGAGGGAAAGGUGAAAAGAACCCCUGUUAGGGGAGUGAAAUAGAAUCUGAAACCUGUUGCCUACAAGCUGCGAGAGCUACUUCGGUAGUGAUCGCGUGCCUUUUGUAUAAUGAGUCAGCGAGUUACUCUACCGUGCGAGGUUAAGCGAAAGCGUAGCCGUAGUGAAAGCGAGGCUUAAUAGGCCGACUAGUACGUUGGAGUAGACCCGAAACCGGGUGAUCUAUCCAUGAGCAGGUUGAAGCAAGGGUAAAGCCUUGUGGAGGACCGAACCGUCAACGGCUGAAAACGUUCCGGAUGACUUGUGGAUAGGGGUGAAAGGCCAAUCAAACCCGGUGAUAGCUGGUUCUCCCCGAAAUAUAUUGAGGUAUAGCCUCAGGGAUUGUUUAUCGGAGGUAAAGCACUGACAAGGCUAGGGGUCCUACCAGAUUACCAAACCUUAUCAAACUCUGAAUGCCGAAUAAAUGUACCCUGGGAGUCAGACGGCGGGUGCUAAGGUCCGUCGUCGAAAGGGUAAGAGCCCAGAUCGACAGCUAAGGCCUCCAAUUCCAUACUCAGUGGUGAAGGUGGUGGAGUUGUUUAGACAGCCAGGACGUUGGCUUAGAAGCAGCCAUCGUUUAAAGAAAGCGUAAUAGCUCACUGGUCUAAUGAUUCUGCGCCGAAAAUGUAACGGGGCUAAGUAUGGAGCCGAAGCUUCGGAUUUGCCUUUAUGGCAUCUGGUAGGGGAGCGUUCUCAACGGGCUGAAGCUGUGGUGAAAACCAUGGUGGACUGUUGAGAAGUGAUUAUGCUGACAUGAGUAACGAUAAAAUAUGUGAAAAACAUAUUCGCCGAAAACCCGAGGUUUCCUGGGUAAAGGUAAUCUUCCCAGGGUUAGUCGGAUCCUAAGGUGAGGGUGAAAGCCGUAACCGAUGGAAAACAGGUUAAUAUUCCUGUACUUGUUGUGUAGCGCGAUGGAGGGACGCAGGAAGAUAGGCGGGCCGGGUGUUGGAUAUCCCGGUGCAAGCGUGUAGGAAUAUCCGGUAGGCAAAUCCGCCGGACGAAUCUGAGACGCGAGUCCGUGGGCGCAAGCCCUGAAGCCGUUGAGUCUAUGCUGCCUAGAAAAGCUCCUAAGUUUAUCCACAGCAAUCCGUACCGCAAACCAACUCAGGUGGGUGGGAUGAAUAAUCCAAGGCGCUCGAGAGAAUUCUGGCUAAGGAACUCGGCAAAAUGACCCCGUAACUUCGGAAGAAGGGGUGCUCCUCUGUGUGAGUUUAUUUACUAUGCAAGCAUGAGGGAGCCGCAGUGAAUUGGUGGUGGCGACUGUUUACUAAAAACAUAGGUCUGUGCGAAGUCGCAAGACGACGUAUACGGACUGACGCCUGCCCGGUGCCGGAAGGUUAAAAGGAGAGGUCAGCGCAAGCGAAGCCUUGAAUUGAAGCCCCGGUAAACGGCGGCCGUAACUAUAACGGUCCUAAGGUAGCGAAAUUCCUUGUCGGGUAAGUUCCGACCUGCACGAAUGG